rnacentral:rRNA from 1 species
AUUGAACGCUGGCGGCAGGCCUAACACAUGCAAGUCGAACGAGUGGCGGACGGGUGAGUAAUGUCUGGGAAACUGCCUGAUGGCGGGGGAUAACUACUGGAAACGGUAGCUAAUACCGCAUAACAUCACAUGUGCCCAGAUGGGAUUAGCUGGUUGGUGGGGUAAAGGCUCACCAAGGCGACGAUACCUAGCGGGUCUGAGUGGAUGACCAGCCACCCUGGAACUGAUGCACGGUCCAGACUCCCACGUGAGGCAGCAAUGGGGAAUAUUGGACAACUGGCGCGAGCCUGAUGCAGCCACGCCGCGUGUAUGAAGAAGGCCUUCGUUUUGUAAAGUACUUUCAGCGGGGAGUCGUUUCCCGCAGAAGAAGCACCGGCUAACUCCGUGCCAGCAGCCGCGGUAAUUC